GCACAACGCGAAGAACCUUACCUACUCUUGACAUCCAGAGAACUUAGCAGAGAUGCUUUGGUGCCUUCGGGAACUCUGAGACAGGUGCUGCAUGGCUGUCGUCAGCUCGUGUUGUGAAAUGUUGGGUUAAGUCCCGCAACGAGCGCAACCCUUAUCCUUUGUUGCCAGCGGUUAGGCCGGGAACUCAAAGGAGACUGCCAGUGAUAAACUGGAGGAAGGUGGGGUAUGACGUCAAGUCAUCAUGGCCCUUACGAGUAGGGCUACACACGUGCUACAAUGGCGCAUACAAAGAGAAGCGACCUCGCGAGAGCAAGCGGACCUCAUAAACGUGCGUCGUAGUCCGGAUUGGAGUCUGCAACUCGACUCCAUGAAGUCGGAAUCGCUAGUAAUCGUAGAUCAGAAUGCUACGGUGAAUACGUUCCCGGG
rnacentral:rRNA from 1 species